rnacentral:rRNA from 1 species
UACGUAGGGACCAAGCGUUGUUCGGAUUACUGGGCGUAAAGGGCGCGUAGGUGGCCUUCUUAGUCAGACGUGAAAUCCCCAGGCUUAACCUGGGAACUGCGUCUGAUACUGGAAGGCUCGAGUUCGGGAGAGGAAUGUGGAAUUCCAGGUGUAGCGGUGAAAUGCGUAGAUAUCUGGAGGAACACCGGUGGCGAAGGCGGCCUGCUGGACCCGAACUGACGCUGAGGCGCGAAAGCCAGGGAGCGAACGGG